GCCAGGUGCGGUAGUGCAUGCCUGUAGUUCCAGCUACUUGGGAGACUGAGGUAGGAGGAUCGCUUGAGCCCAGGAGUCCUGGGCUGUAGUGCGCUAUGCUGAUUGGGUAUCUUCACUAAGUUCAGCAUCAAUGUGGUGACCUCCUGGGGGUGGGGGACCGCCAGGUUGCCUAAGGAAGGGUGAACUGGCCCAGGUUAGAAACAGCAGGUUAAAACCCCAUUGCUGAUCAGUAGUGGGAUCAUGCCUGUGAAUAGCCACUGCACUCCGGCGUGGACAAUGUAGUGAGACCUUGCCU
rnacentral:SRP_RNA from 10 species